UAUUUAUUAGAUAAAAAACCAAUGCCCUUCGGGGCUCCUUGGUGAAUCAUAAUAACUUAGCGAAUCGCAUGGCCUUGCGCCGGCGAUGGUUCAUUCAAAUUUCUGCCCUAUCAACUUUCGAUGGUAGGAUAGUGGCCUACCAUGGUAUCAACGGGUAACGGGGAAUUAGGGUUCGACUCCGGAGAGGGAGCCUGAGAAACGGCUACCACAUCCAAGGAAGGCAGCAGGCGCGCAAAAUACCCAAUCCCGACACGGGGAGGUAGUGACAAUAAAUACUGAUACAGGGCUCUUUUGGGUCUUGUAAUUGGAAUGAGUACAAUUUAAAUCCCUUAACGAGGAACAAUUGGAGGGCAAGUCUGGUGCCAGCAGCCGCGGUAAUUCCAGCUCCAAUAGCGUAUAUUAAGGUUGUUGCAGUUAAAAAGCUCGUAGUUGAACCUUGGGCCUGGCUGGCCGGUCCGCCUCACCGCGUGUACUGGUCCGGCCGGGCCUUUCCUUCUGGGGAACCUCAUGCCCUUCACUGGGCGUGCUGGGGAACCAGGACUUUUACUUUGAAAAAAUUAGAGUGUUCAAAGCAGG
rnacentral:rRNA from 1 species